rnacentral:rRNA from 1 species
GGCUCGAGGAUGAACGCUAGCGGCAGGCUUAACACAUGCAAGUCGAGGGGUAUAGUUCUUCGGAACUAGAGACCGGCGCGACGGGUGCGUAACGCGUAUGCAAUCUACCUUUUGCAGAGGGAUAGCCAGAGAAAUUUGGAUUAAUACCUCAUAGUAUAGCAGUUUCGCAUGAAACCACUAUUAAAGUCACAACGGCAAAAGAUGAGCAUGCGUCCCAUUAGCUAGUUGGUAAGGUAACGGCUUACCAAGGCUACGAUGGGUAGGGGGUCCUGAGAGGGAGAUCCCCCACACUGGUACUGAGACACGGACCAGACUCCUACGGGAGGCAGCAGUGAGGAAUAUUGGACAAUGGGCGCAAGCCUGAUCCAGCCAUGCCGCGUGCAGGAUGACGGUCCUAUGGAUUGUAAACUGCUUUUAUACAGGAAGAAACACUCCGACGUGUCGGAGCUUGACGGUACUGUAAGAAUAAGGAUCGGCUAACUCCGUG